CCUACGGGCGGCUGCAGUGGGGAAUUUUGGACAAUGGGCGCAAGCCUGAUCCAGCAAUGCCGCGUGAGUGAAGAAGGCCUUCGGGUUGUAAAGCUCUUUCAGUUGAGAAGAAAAGAUUGUGACUAAUAAUUGCAAUUCAUGACGGUAUCAACAGAAGAAGCACCGGCUAACUACGUGCCAGCAGCCGCGGUAAUACGUAGGGUGCGAGCGUUAAUCGGAAUUACUGGGCGUAAAGGGUGCGCAGGCGGUUCUGUAAGUCAGAUGUGAAAUCCCCGGGCUUAACCUGGGAACUGCGUUUGAAACUACAGAGCUAGAGUGUGGCAGAGGGGGGUGGAAUUCCAUGUGUAGCAGUGAAAUGCGUAGAGAUAUGGAAGAACAUCGAUGGCGAAGGCAGCCCCCUGGGUCAACACUGACGCUCAUGCACGAAAGCGUGGGGAGCAAACAGGAUUAGAUACCCCAGUAGUC
rnacentral:rRNA from 1 species